AGAGUGAACGCUGGCGGUAGGCCUAACACAUGCAAGUCGAACGGCAGCACAGUGGUAGCAAUACCAUGGGUGGCGAGUGGCGGACGGGUGAGGAAUACAUCGGAAUCUACCUUUUCGGUGGGGGAUAACGUAGGGAAACUUACGCUAAUACCGCAUACGCCCUUCGGGGGGAAAGCCGGGGAUCGCAAGACCUGGCGCGGAUAGAUGAGCCGAUGUCGGAUUAGCUAGUUGGUGAGGUAAUGGCUCACCAAGGCGACGAUCCGUAGCUGGUCUGAGAGGAUGAUCAGCCCACUACGUGGAACUGAGCGACGGUCCAGCCUCCGUACGGGAGGCAGC
rnacentral:rRNA from 1 species